GUGGGGAAUAUUGGACAAUGGGCGCAAGCCUGAUCCAGCCAUACCGCGUGGGUGAAGAAGGCCUUCGGGUUGUAAAGCCCUUUUGUUGGGAAAGAAAUCCUGUCGGUUAAUACCUGGCGGGGAUGACGGUACCCAAAGAAUAAGCACCGGCUAACUUCGUGCCAGCAGCCGCGGGAAUACGAAGGGUGCAAGCGUUACUCGGAAUUACUGGGCGUAAAGCGUGCGUAGGUGGUGGGUUAAGUCCGUUGUGAAAGCCCUGGGCUCAACCUGGGAAUUGCAGUGGAUACUGGAUCACUAGAGUGUGGUAGAGGGAUGCGGAAUUUCUGGUGUAGCAGUGAAAUGCGUAGAGAUCAGAAGGAACAUCCGUGGCGAAGGCGGCAUCCUGGGCCAACACUGACACUGAGGCACGAAAGCGUGGGGAGCAAACAGGAUUAGAUACCCUGGUAGUCC
rnacentral:rRNA from 1 species